CUACGGAGGGUGCAAGCGUUAUUCGGAAUCACUGGGCGUAAAGGACGCGUAGGCGGGUUGGCAAGUCAGAUGUGAAAUCCUACAGCUUAACUGUAGAACUGCAUUUGAAACUGCCAACCUAGAGUAUGGGAGGGGGAGAUGGAAUUAGUGGUGUAGGGGUAAAAUCCGUAGAUAUCACUAGGAAUACCGAAAGCGAAGGCGAUCUCCUGGAACAUAACUGACGCUAAGGCGUGAAAGCGUGGGGAGCAAACAGGAUUAGAAACCCCAGUAGUCC
rnacentral:rRNA from 1 species